CCUGCGACCGUCGAAACGCGAGUGGGAUUUUUCUCUUGCGUCCGUUGCGCCUGUGAUACCCGACAACUGUAGCAGCAUGUCAUCUGAUCCGACUUCAACUGAAGGCUCGCCGACUGAUGCGGAAGCAGUUUACCUCGUUUCGCACGGGCCACCAAAGAAAAUUGUGAAGUUCACAGGCGCCCGGAAGCUCGCCGACCUUCACGAAAGUUUGCGGAUGGGUGGGUUCGCGCACCUGAUGACAUGCAACGAUCUCCUAAUACAGCAUGCUGGAAGCUGCAAAGGGGAGUUGGCAAGGGGGCACAAGGAAGCAAUGCCCCGUUGCUGUCCGUAGGGUGAACGCAAGGCGGCUCGUGGCGGCCGCAAUUUCUACGCUGCGCUUUUCAUCUCUGAAGCCAUGCGCAGCAGCGUGCAGUCGUCAUGUUCAGAAAAGCAGUGCAAAGGUACCCGAAUAAGCUGUACAACAUUGCUGCAAGGUGCCUUGGUAAACCAGUACCCAGCCCUGAGGAACAGAUUGGACUCUGGCUAUAUGCAAAAGGCGUGAGCGCCAUCAUGGUUCUACCAUUUCUUGUCAAUGAGCGAGGGGACGACAUGUUCACAAAAAUGACGCCAGAACAGGAGUUUGCCCACCCCACAUUGCUGUACACUGGCGACAACCGCAUCUCUUCCAAGGCCCUGUGUGUGAAGUGUGGAUAUGUAUGUGUAGAUGUAUUGGACUUCACUUCCGGUGUAACGGGGUUAUUUUUAUUUUCUAUGUACUGGGGCUUUCAACAUCGAAUACAUCAGCUCUGCGGAGCAGACACUCUCAUUGCUGCAACACAUGAUUGAAAUGAAAACGAAAACGACAAAACUAGGCGCCAAGUCCCAACAGCUUUAAUAGCACGGUUAACUGCUACAACUAACAAAAUCACAGCCAGUACUGAGCAGGCUGAGAAAUCUGACUAAGCUGCUAAAGUCGUCUUGAAAUGCACCUUCCUGUAUGCACUUAGCCUUUUUUGUUUCUUUUUUUUAACGCUCAGGCUAUUUUGGUGUUCGUAGCCUUGGAUUAUGCAGCUGAGUAAUACUGCCAAUAGCUAGUCAAACCUCGAAAACUUUAUUGUGUUUAAAUGUUAUUCAUAGUUUUUGUAUUAUGGGACAUAAAGCAAACACUCACCAAUAAUAUUUUAAAAAAUAGUGAAAUUACAAGAAAUUGUAUUUCGGAGCCAGUAUGGGUCCUUUGUUCCCAAAUGACAGCAGAGGCAAUGGUUUGGUUCUGUACAGGUGAGAUGGCGGAGAGCGCAUGCAUAGAUGACAGGCAGAUUAUCGUGUGACCUUCCUAUCGCUUAGCACGUCAUCUGAAUAUGCUGUGAUUUUAGUAGUAAUUGCAUUGGUAAUAUUGCAGUGGCAAUUAUGGAUGCCUAGUGCUAGUGUAUAGAAGGCCCUGUUUUCUCCUGGUGUUCGGAUAAUGCGUCGGAAAUAAGGUUGCUUUUAAAGAGCUAGUGCUUAUCCUGCUUUGGGUGCUUCUUAACGUUGCCAGAUUGACAGUGAAUUACAUUUUUUGCAUGUGAAUAUGUACAUGGAGCCAAGUUAGUUCAAUCUUCCAAAGGGGUCCUUCAUGUACACCAGUUCAUCACAUAGCUUGCUGGAAGGGACAUGUGCCACCCAACCAUUGCAGUCAUUCAACACUCUGGCAAAAGUCUCGCUCAUGCCACAUGCAUACAGGAUGGUAGCACGCUUGCUUUUCUUGCUUACCACUUAGCGGAUGGGCGCUGAGGCACGAUGUUCUUGCUCACUUGGCAGUUUUAGCGGCUGGCCAAGACAUUGCGUGUCAUUUAGCAUCAAGAUCAACUCUGCUUUUUGCCUUGUAUGACUUGAGCAAAGACCGAAAAGCGAGGUUACUAGUGAUGAGGCGGCCAACCUUUGUGGCCCUUGUGGUGUACAGAAAGAACAUCUAGGUAUUUUGACAUGUGUGAGUUUGCGAUGAACCCUCGUGGCAAGGCCAUUGGUGAUUCGUUCCUUGAGAACAUCAAUGGAUGCAAUGUACCUCUUCUCUCAGGCUCUUCGUGUGCUGUAAACUGAUGCUUUCCUUACAAAGUUAAGUGCUUUUUCUGAUUGCUAUAUGUACUCUCACUAAAGGUCACUGUGAUGUGCGCAUAUUUUAUUGAAUAAAAUUUGUACAUGUUUUAACUGUUGUGUUGUUCUUUCAGAUCUGAACCGAAGCAGAUCGAAAUUUGAUGCAAACAGGGAGGCAGUGCUAAUGGAAACAUUUAGAGGUGAGACAGCAGUCUUUUUUUGACAAAUUGGAUGAUAGGAUGGCCAAGAAGUAGCACUUUUGAAACAUAAUUUGAUGUACUUACUAUGCAAGCUGCACAUGGAUUUUUAAGUGGUAUUAUUCGUCAUGCCCUGUUUUACAUUUAUCUGGUCUUUAGUCAUAUUUAUUUUCUUCUACUGGCAUCGAUGUUGUAUCAUUGCUUUGAUAUGGUGAAAUUUUAAAUUUGUCGUUAAUUAUCAAUAUUGAAAUUUAAUUAUUCUGCCCAUGUAUGCCUCCAUGGCAUAUUGAAAUAAACAAGCCCUUUGUCAUGGCAAAGAAAUAACAUUCUUGUUCAAGAAAUAAAUUUUUUUCUCAAAUACCUGAAAUGCUAUAUUACGUAACAUUGGACAUAUUAGCGCUGUUCAGUUUGCCUUGUACACCACAUCCCCCCCCACAAAAAAACAUGCUGGAUGUUGCAACUGACGCAUAGUAUUUCUCAAGGUUGGCCAUUGAUUCCAAUUUAGCAAAUCAGAUUGCUGUCUUCUAUUUUUACCAGGUAUGAUGCUGAUGCAUUUGAGGUUAUUACAUAUGAUAGUGAAAUUUUGGCUCUUGGUGUUUAACUCAUUGUGAUGUUAUGUGCUAACUGUUUUUUUCGUUGUCGCCUUAAAAAAGACAAGUCCACUUGUCGAAACGUUGGCUCCUGCUUUCAUCUUGUUCUCAUUUUGCUCAGUGUUCUUUUAGUUGUUUAUAGUUUUGCAGUUUAUUAUAACAUCUAAUGGUGGCUGAGAGCUGCUGAAUAGCUACGCGUUUGUUGCUUACACAAAUUAAAAUCUAUAUGUAGCGAGCUUCCAUAUUAGCUUAGAGAUAGUCAUUUGACUCCCCAGGCAGAGGUCACAGCAGCUGCUGUGAAGGGUCUGGUUGAGUACCAGGAGCUAGUUUCACCAAUUCUUACCAUGGUAGUCAUGUACACCACCAUUGUCAGUCAAUUGACUACCCUAGGAAGGGUCAUGGUUGCCAUUGCAAAGGGGUUCCAUUGACUACCAAGAGGUACUUGCAUCGACCACUAAGGUAGUCGUAUCAACUCUUGCCAUGGUAGUCAUGUACACCACCAUUGUUUGUCAGUUGUCAAAUGACUACCCUAGGAAGGGUCAUUGUUGCCAUUGCAAAGGGGUUCGGCUGAC